rnacentral:rRNA from 1 species
AGAGUUUGAUCCUGGCUCAGAUUGAACGCUGGCGGCGUGCUUAACACAUGCAAGUCGUGCGAGAAAGGGGGCUUCGGUCCCUGAGUAGAGCGGCGCACGGGUGAGUAGCGCGUGGAUAAUCUCCCCAGAAGUUCGGGAUAACGGCGGGAAACUGCCGCUAAUACCGGAUACGCUCCAAUUUCGGUUGGGGGAAAGGCGGCCUCUGUUUACAAGCUGUCGCUUCUGGAUGAGUCCGCGUCCCAUUAGCUUGUUGGUGGGGUAAUGGCCUACCAAGGCUACGAUGGGUAGCUGGUCUGAGAGGAUGAUCAGCCACACUGGAACUGAAACACGGUCCAGACUCCUACGGGAGGCAGCAGUGGGGAAUAUUGCGCAAUGGGGGAAACCCUGACGCAGCGACGCCGUGUGAGGGAUGAAGGCUUUCGGGUCGUAAACCUCUGUCGGGAGGG